GUAUGUUAGCGGCUGGACGGGUGAGUAACACGUGGUGUAACCUGCCUGUAAGACUGGGAUAACUCCGGGAAACCGGGGCUAAUACCGGAUGGUUGUUUGAACCGCAUGGUUCAAACAUAAAANGUGGCUUCGGCUACCACUUACAGAUGUGACCCGCGGCGCAUUAGCUAGUUGGUGAGGUAACGGGCUUCCAACCAAGGGCCAACGAUGCGUAGCCGACCUGAGAGGGUGAUCGGCCACACUGGGACUGAGACACGGCCCAGACUCCUACGGGAGGCAGCAGUAGGGAAUCUUCCGCAAUGGACGAAAGUCUGACGGAGCAACGCCGCGUGAGUGAUGAAGGUUUUCGGAUCGUAAAGCUCUGUUGUUAGGGAAGAACAAGUACCGUUCGAAUAGGGCGGUACCUUGACGGUACCUAACCAGAAAGCCACGGCUAACUACGUGCCAGCAGCCGCGGUAAUACGUAGGUGGCAAGCGUUGUCCGGAAUUAUUGGGCGUAAAGGGCUCGCAGGCGGGUUUCUUAAGUCUGAUGUGAAAGCCCCCGGCUCAACCGGGGGAGGGUCAUUGGAAACUGGGAACUUGAGUGCAGAAGAGGAGAGUGGAAUUCCACGUGUAGCGGUGAAAUGCGUAUGAGAUGUGCAGGAACACCAGUGGCGAAGGCGACUCUCUGGUCUGUACUGACGCUUAAGGAGCGAAAAGCGUGGGGAGCGAACAGGAUUAGAUCCCUGGUUAGUCCAACGCCGUAA
rnacentral:rRNA from 1 species